rnacentral:rRNA from 1 species
GAUAGCUUGCUAUCAGGCGUCGAGCGGCGGACGGGUGAGUAAUACUUAGGAAUCUACCUAGUAGUGGGGGAUAGCUCGGGGAAACUCGAAUUAAUACCGCAUACGACCUACGGGAGAAAGGGGGCAACUUGUUGCUCUCGCUAUUAGAUGAGCCUAAGUCGGAUUAGCUAGAUGGUGGGGUAAAGGCCUACCAUGGCGACGAUCUGUAGCUGGUCUGAGAGGAUGAUCAGCCACACCGGGACUGAGACACGGCCCGGACUCCUACGGGAGGCAGCAGUGGGGAAUAUUGGACAAUGGGGGCAACCCUGAUCCAGCCAUGCCGCGUGUGUGAAGAAGGCCUUUUGGUUGUAAAGCACUUUAAGCAGUGAAGAAGACUCCGUGGUUAAUACCCACGGACGAUGACAUUAGCUGCAGAAUAAGCACCGGCUAACUCUGUGCCAGCAGCCGCGGUAAUACAGAGGGUGCAAGCGUUAAUCGGAAUUACUGGGCGUAAAGCGAGCGUAGGUGGCUUGAUAAGUCAGAUGUGAAAUCCCCGGGCUUAACCUGGGAACUGCAUCUGAUACUGUUAGGCUAGAAUAGGUGAGAGGAAGGUAGAAUUCCAGGUGUAGCGGUGAAAUGCGUAGAGAUCUGGAGGAAUACCGAUGGCGAAGGCAGCCUUCUGGCAUCAUAUUGACACUGAGGUUCGAAAGCGUGGGUAGCAAACAGGAUUAGAUACCCUGGUAGUCCACGCCGUAAACGAUGUCUACUAGUCGUUGGGUCCCUUGAGGACUUAGUGACGCAGCUAACGCAAUAAGUAGACCGCCUGGGGAGUACGGCCGCAAGGUUAAAACUCAAAUGAAUUGACGGGGGCCCGCACAAGCGGUGGAGCAUGUGGUUUAAUUCGAUGCAACGCGAAGAACCUUACCUGGUCUUGACAUAUCUAGAAUCCUGCAGAGAUGCGGGAGUGCCUUCGGGAAUUAGAAUACAGGUGCUGCAUGGCUGUCGUCAGCUCGUGUCGUGAGAUGUUGGGUUAAGUCCCGCAACGAACGCAACCCUUGUCCUUAGUUUACCAGCGGGUUAAGCCGGGAACUCUAAGGAUACUGCCAGUGACAAACUGGAAGGAAGCGCGGGGACGACGUCGAAGUCAUCAUGGGCCCUU